UUGGUAGGCGUCAUUAAAACC
ensembl:piRNA 21ur-2127 ncRNA